UAUCACAGGUAUGGAUGUGCUAGAGGUUUAUAUAGCAAAAAGGAUUAGAUGUUUUGCUGCAGUUAAACAGAUGAGAUGUUACAGGCUUCACACAAGCAAUGAUAUGCUUCAAGUCCAGAGAACAAUACUUCGAAACAAAACUUAAAAGCUUGCCAGAUGUUACAGGCUUCACUCAAUACCUCGCAGAUUUAUGGUUUUGCAAGAUGUUACUUACUUUGUUAUUGAAUCUAAUCUCAACUCCGAUCCACGGCAGGGUUAGAGAAGGACCAGAACUGUCCAUAUCUUGCAUUAACCAGCUCCAGAUUUUGAUAUUACUUCUGCUACGAGAAGACUUCUCUUUUUCAAUAUGUGAUUCCUUGGCCAACUAUUCCGCAUACAAAAGUAUAUGCUUACC